UGACAACGAACAAGGCGAGGAACAUCGCCCACACGCGAAGGGUGAUCGAGGCUGCUACUUUUAAGGCAUCUCAGUUUGUUCUCUUGCCCAUGACAUAGCUCACUUGUGGGCAAACUGAUCACAAAACAGUCUGUGUGUGUUCACAAGAAUGCUUGAUUAACUCCCAGUAUAAUUCCAGUCUCAUCUUUGGCAAAUCUAUAGCUAAACAUAAAUUUCUGCAGGUAAUUCUUGAUUUCAAUUGCACUUUAUUGCCUUUGAACUACACAAGAAUUCCAUUAUUUUCAUCUUUGCUUUUUGUAAAGGAAUAUAUUGCUUUCUAGACACUCCAAAAUAGAGAAAUUAUUCUGUGCGGAGACCGGACACAGAACGUCAUCCGGAGAUCAACCAGAAUGCGUCAUAUCAGCUGUACCGAGCGGUGGGGUGAUGCGGCGAAUUAUGGUUGGUCUUCGGAUGACGUUCGGCAUCUGCACAGAAUAAUUAAUCCCAAAAUUGAAUAGUUUGGCUCUAGUUUAUUGAAUAUUCUGUUUGGAGCUAUAUCUCCUCUUAGUUUAGAUCUGUCUCCCAUCUCUAAAACAUUAUCAAAAUGAUGAGCAUAUAGUGUUCUAAGUUUCUCUUUGAUGGAGAUCUUUCUAAUGAGCUUCAAUCCUAUUUUGAGAUCAUACAAUUAGGCCUAAGUCUAAAGGUGGGCUUGACUUCUCUAUCUUUUCUCAGCAACACCUAUAACAUGUAGAGCUGCUAUAAGAUUUUAUGCAUAAAGAUGACCUUUUUUUACGUACCACAUAUUGAUUUGUUUGUUGGGAGCUUUGAUUAUUAAUCAAGAGGUCUUGGAUUCGAAACUUGUGUAUGUGAUGUGUGUGCGAAUUUGUCUUGAUGGUUCAAAUGUCCCAAAAAAAGACGGUCUUUUUACUAUGUGGAGCACUAAACACGACAUCAUGAUUUAAGGUCGAUCUCAUUCUAUGACAUCUUGCUUUUUGAAUAUAUUUUUGUUAACAAUUUGAAUUAAGUCAUGGAUUCUUUCAAGAUAGGCUUUUUUUUUUCUCCUCCUUUUUUUGUGAUCUUUUGUUCUGAGUAUCAAUCUAUUAUGAAUAUUUUUGAAGUAUUUAUUCUCAUGAGCUCAUAAAAUUAGCUUUUCUUUUA